GACGAACGCUGGCGGCGUGCCCAAUACAUGCAAGUCGAACGAGAGCGACCGGUGCUUGCACUGGUCAAUCUAGUGGCGAACGGGUGAGUAACACGUGGGUAACCUGCCCAUCAGAGGGGGAUAACAUCCGGAAACGGAUGCUAAAACCGCAUAGGUCUUCGAGCCGCAUGGCUUGAAGAGGAAAAGAGGCGCAAGCUUCUGCUGAUGGAUGGACCCGCGGUGCAUUAGCUAGUUGGUGAGGUAACGGCUCACCAAGGCCGUGAUGCAUAGCCGACCUGAGAGGGUGAUCGGCCACAUUGGGACUGAGACACGGCCCAAACUCCUACGGGAGGCAGCAGUAGGGAAUCUUCCGCAAUGGACGCAAGUCUGACGGAGCAACGCCGCGUGAGUGAAGAAGGUGUUCGGAUCGUAAAACUCUGUUGUUAGAGAAGAACAAGUGCUAGAGUAACUGUUAGCGCCUUGACGGUAGCUAACCAGAAAGCCACGGCUAACUACGUG
rnacentral:rRNA from 1 species